CGUAGGGUGCGAGCGUUGUCCGGAAUUAUUGGGCGUAAAGAGCUCGUAGGCGGUCUGUCGCGUCGGUCGUGAAAACUUGGGGCUUAACCCUGAGCUUGCGGUCGAUACGGGCAUGACUGGAGUUCGGCAGGGGGAGACUGGAAUUCCUGGUGUAGCGGUGAAAUGCGCAGAUAUCAGGAGGAACACCGGUGGCGAAGGCGGGUCUCUGGGCCGAUACUGACGCUGAGGAGCGAAAGCGUGGGGGAGCGAACAGGAUU
rnacentral:rRNA from 1 species